AAUGAACGUUGGCGGCGUGGAUUAGGCAUGCAAGUCGAGCGAGAACCGUAGCAGUACGGGGACAGCGGCGAACGGGACAGUAAUAUGUAGGUACCUACCCCGGGGUCUGGGAUAGCUGCGGGAAACUGCAGGUAAUACCGGAUAAUGUCUUCGGACCAAAGGUGUGAUUCCACCUUGGGAGGGGCCUACAUCCUAUUAGCUUGUUGGUGAGGUAACGGCUCACCAAGGCAACGAUGGGUAGCGGGUGUGAGAGCACGACCCGCGUCAUUGGGACUGAGAUACUGCCCAGACACCUACGGGUGGCUGCAGUCGAGGAUCUUCGGCAAUGGGCGAAAGCCUGACCGAGCGACGCCACGUGUGGGAUGAAGGCCCUCGGGUUGUAAACCACUGUCGACGGGGAGGAAAUACGGAAGGGCUAUCCCUUUUGUUUGACCGAUCUGUGGAGGAAGUACGGGGUAAGUUCGUG
rnacentral:rRNA from 1 species